CAUGCGGCGCCAAUAAAUAAUUAUAUAAGUAUGUAGUUUAGUGUGGACCACAAAGAGAGUUCGAUGCUAGGUCCAGUUUGUUUUCAACAUAUUUAAAUUUAACACUUAUAUUUCAAAAAAAAAUAAAAACAUUUUGUAUGUUGUUAUUCAAAAUCAAAACUUUACUUAAAAAUUAUAAAAAACCUUAAAACCUAAGCGUUAAAUCUUUUAUAAUACGUGAUAACAUGUUGAACUUAUACACCACUGACGGACCACAAAGGGACUGAAUGCUCGGCCCAGUUUGUUUUCAACGUAUUAAAAUUUAACACUUAGAUUUAACCCAAAAAAAAUUAUUAAAAAUUAAAACUAUUUUUGCUUAAAAUUUGAUUAAAAAACCUUGAUAUGUAGUUGUAAAUCAGGAAAAUAGAAAUGAAAAACAUAAAAUCUUUUCUUCUUUAUGUAUAUUUUUAAAUCAAAAUCAAUUGCUCUUAAAUUUUUUAUUUUUUUUUUUAAGUUAGAAAAGUUGAAAUAUACCUGUGAUAUUUAAGUAUCCUGAGGGCUGAGGCGAGGCGACUCCAUCCGUGGUCGAACCUUGAGUCACCAUCGAACCUUGAGUCUCCACCCUGAACCUUGAGUCACCAUAAUAUAUAUAAUACGUGAAUCACAAGGCUGUAACAUGUUUGAUGAUGAACUAAAAAGUACACAAAAUGGCUUGCAUUUGCAUCAAUCCAAAAUCGUAUAUGCAUAUACACACACCUAUGAGAUUCAGUUCUUUAAGUUGCAGACUGGUAAUAAUAA
rnacentral:lncRNA from 1 species